rnacentral:rRNA from 1 species
GAUGAACGCUAGCGGGAGGCCUAACACAUGCAAGCCGAGCGGUAGAGAUUCUUCGGAAUCUUGAGAGCGGCGUACGGGUGCGGAACACGUGUGCAACCUGCCUUUAUCAGGGGGAUAGCCUUUCGAAAGGAAGAUUAAUACCCCAUAAUAUAUUUUAUGGCAUCAUUAGAUAUUGAAAGCUUUGGCGGAUAGAGAUGGGCACGCGCAAGAUUAGAUAGUUGGUGAGGUAACGGCUCACCAAGUCGAUGAUCUUUAGGGGGCCUGAGAGGGUGAUCCCCCACACUGGUACUGAGACACGGACCAGACUCCUACGGGAGGCAGCAGUGAGGAAUAUUGGACAAUGGGUUAGCGCCUGAUCCAGCCAUCCCGCGUGAAGGACGACGGCCCUAUGGGUUGUAAACUUCUUUUGUACAGGGAUAAACCUACUCUCGUGAGAGCAGCUGAAGGUACUGUACGAAUAAGCACCGGCUAACUCCGUG